GGGGUCCUGUGGCUGCCCAGUCUGCAGGGUCAGGGGUCCUGUGGCUGCCCAGUCUGUAGGGUCAGGGGGUCUUUGGGUGCCCAGUCUAUAGGGUCAGGGGUCUUGUAGGUGCCCAGUCUGCAGGGUCUGGGGUCCUGUGGGUG